UUAAAUUGAAGAGUUUGAUCAUGGCUCAGAUUGAACGCUGGCGGCAGGCCUAACACAUGCAAGUCGAACGGUAACAGGAAGAAGCUUGCUUCUUUGCUGACGAGUG
rnacentral:rRNA from 2 species